GUGGUUGUUUUCCAGAAACGUUCUGCUGGCCGGAUAUGGAUACGUACGGCAUAUACUCGACGGAUGGUAGUGCGCGACAAUUCCUGGAAUGCUUCAACAAGCAGCAGAGAGAAAAAGAACAGAGAAUGUUUUGAUACACAUCCUGAAGGGUUCAAGGGGGUGUAAUGGGAAAAUCUGUUUGGAUGAAGUGAAAGUAUGAAAAGCGGUUACUGUCUGUACUAAAGGGGUGAACUUCAGAUGGAGCACCAAGAGGCCUAUGAGAUGUUCAACAGAGAUAGUGAUUGAUGGCCUGGAAAUCAUGAGUAUGUCGAAGAUUGAUCAAAUGUUUGUGACGGUGAUUAUGAAGCAUGACGGAACUGAUCUUCAAUCGCAGCAGUAUGACAGAAGUGACAAGUUGAAGUACUGGCUCAAAGAAAUUAUCCUGAGCUCUGCUCCCACAAGCCUUUAGGGAGAAACAAGUGUGAGAUUGUCAAUUCCUCCAGAUUGUCAUCAAGAAGUUUGGCCGAAUCUCUGGACACCUCAGAGUAUGAUUCAUGAACCGACAUGUCAGAGUUGGAAACUGGUACAGAUGCUCCCACCUCUUCAUACGCUGUUACAUGACAGGAUGACUCUGUACUUGAUGAUUUUUGGUGGAUAGUAAUGAGAAAAUGCUCCCAGGUUCCAAUUUGCAGCCCUCUUCAGUGUUGUCUUUUCAAGGAAGCACAAAGCAUCUUGAUUUCAUAGCUGUCCUGUUCAUUAGCGUUGUUUCCUUUACCAUUGCAUUAUGCAGUUUUAUUUAUAUAUAGAGCAUUAUAUCUAAAUUAAAUGUGCUCUUUUGGUAAUCAAUUUAAGUAACAGGUGAGAUUAACCUUUUGGGGGAUAUUUGUCUAAAUGCCUUGCUUCAUAAUCUUAUGGCCCAUCCCAGAUAAUCACACCAAAGUCUGAAUUACAGUAAUUUGAAUUGGGAAUUGGAAGUUAUUAUUAGCACAAAAUGAAUGGCGCUUACAAAGGGGGCCUCGGUCGGAAACAUAAUUACAUUAGGGGUACAAUGAGUGAAGUUCCCUACAUGUACAUUGUAUUUCCCUUCCGUCAGCAAGUUAUUACAUUAUCAUCUCCAUUUUGGACAUCACAGCCCCCUGGUAUCUGUACCGUAUAAAACUAAUUAACUCUCCUUUUGCAUUUUAUUUUUCUUUCUAAUAAGCCAAAUUGUGAAAUCUUUUGAGACCAGAAAAACAAU